AGAACGAACGCUGGCGGCAGGCCUAACACAUGCAAGUCGAGCGCUGUAGCAAUACAGAGCGGCGCACGGGAGAGUAAUACGUGGGAACCUACCCUUUGGUUCGGAAUAACGUCGGGAAACUGACGCUAAUACCGAAUAAGCCCUUCGGGGGAAAGAUUUAUUGCCGAAGGAUGGGCCCAUGUUGGAUUAGCUAGUUGGUGAGGUAACGGCUCACCAAGGCAACGAUCCAUAGCUGGUCUGAGAGGAUGAUCAGCCUCACUGGGACUGAGACACGGCCCAGACUCCUACGGGAGGCAGCAGUGGGGAAUAUUGGACAAUGGGGGCAACCCUGAUCCAGCCAUGCCGCGUGAGUGAUGAAGGCCUUCGGGUUGUAAAGCUCUUUUGGCGGGACGAUGAUGACGGUACCGCAGAAUAAGCCCCGGCUAACUUCGUGCCAGCAGCCGC
rnacentral:rRNA from 1 species